UUCUACCACAGCACAUCUCCGCCAGCCGAAACAUCCCAGUAUGUGGGGCUGGAGAGGUGGCUCAGUGGACAGGCGUAUGUGUUACAGCUCUUACAGACAACCCAAGUUCCAUACCCAGCAUGCACCUCUCACAGUCACUAACUGCCCGUAACUCCAACUGCAUGGGGAUCUGAUGCCUCUGGCCUACACGGGCAUUGGCACUUCUGUAGGUCCAAAAACAGUAACAACUGGGUCUGCUUGGCUCCCAGUAAGCUCUUCAGGACCAACCAAACUGGCAUUUGAAGAAGAAAGCCCUGAAGCAGUGAAGGAAGCUCAUCGACUACCACACCGACUACCACACGGGAGCAUCACUGAAGCACAGCAUCCCUCAGAGUGGAAGCUCCCCCCCUAAUUACCUAAACGCUCCACCCGCUUCCUAAGCCUCAGGGAGUUCUUUGUCCACAGCACACUCAAACCAUAGCAGGGGGUCUGUCUACUUCCUAACCUUUACAAAGUAGGCAGUCCUCAUCCUUUCUCCAUCCGAAAAAAGAGAGACUAGCUGCUCUCUGCUGUCCAAGAAUAUCAGAAGUACUUCUGUGUGAAGCCAGCUUUGUGCUCCAUGAGCACUACUCCUAUAAGUGGUAGCCACUUUCCCUGUCACCAAGGAUCCCCCAUGGACAAUGUGGAACGAUAACUUACCAAGAACUGUCAGCAGAAAUUUUCUAUUUGCAACCCCAGGAGCUUUCUUCACUUUGCACUGGUAAGUGCCAAUAUCGGACAACUGCAGAUUGGUCACAUUUAUCGAUGCGUCACCAGA